rnacentral:rRNA from 1 species
GGAGGGUGCAAGCGUUGUUCGGAAUCAUUGGGCGUAAAGCGCGUGUAGGCGGCUAUCUAAGUCUGGUGUGAAAGCCCAGGGCUUAACCUUGGAAGUGCACUGGAUACCGGAUGGCUAGAGGACGGGAGAGGGAAGCGGAAUUCCUGGUGUAGGGGUGAAAUCCGUAGAUAUCAGGAGGAACAUCUGUGGCGAAGGCGGCUUCCUGGCCCGUUUCUGACGCUGAGACGCGAAAGCGUGGGGAGCAAACAGGGAUUAGAUACCCUGGUAGUCCACGCCCUAAACGAUGGAUACUAGACGUCGGAAUUCCUAAUAGUUUCGGUGUCGCAGCUAACGCAUUAAGUAUCCCGCCUGGGGAUUACGGUCGCAAGAUUA